GACGAACGCUGGCGGCGUGCUUAACACAUGCAAGUCGAACGGACAGGCCCUGCUUUUGUGCGGUUCUCGAGUGGCGAACGGGUGAGUAACACGUGAGUAACCUGCCCUUGACUGUGGGAUAUCUCUACGGGACUCGGGCUCAUACCGGAUAGGAUCUCUUGCUGCGUGGUGGUGGUUGGAAAAUGACGGCUGUUCGGGCUGGACUGGCGGGUUACGAGCUUGAUAGUGGGGUAGUGGCUUACGAAGGCUUUGACGGGUAGCCGGCCUGAGAGGGUGACCGGGGACCUUGGGCCUGAGAUACGGACCAGAAGGCUACGUGAGGCAGUGGUGGGAAGUAUGGCACAACGGGCGGGAGCCUGAGGUAGCAGCGCCGCGUGCGUGAAGCCGGGCUUCGGGGUGAGAACAGCUUUGGCCUGUGACGAAGCGUGAGUGACGGUAACUGGUCAAGAAGCACCGGCUAACUACGUG
rnacentral:rRNA from 1 species